CGCAAGCCUGACGGAGCAACGCCGCGUGUGGGAAGAAGGCUCUUGGGCUGUCAACCACUUUUCUCAGGGAAGAAGCCCUGACGGUACCUGAGGAAUCAGCCUCGGCUAACUCCGUGCCAGCAGCCGCGGUAAUACGGAGGAGGCAAGCGUUAUCCGGAGUUAUUGGGCGUAAAGCGUCCGCAGGGGGCACAUCAAGUCUGCUGUUAAAGCCUGGAGCUCAACUCCGGUAGAGCAGUGGAACUGGUGUGCUAGAGGGCGACAGGGGUAGAGGGAAUUCCCAGUGUAGCGGUGAAAUGCGUAGAGAUUGGGAAGAACACCAGUGGCGAAGGCGCUCUACUGGGCCGCGACUGACGCUGAGGGACGAAAGCUAGGGGAGCG
rnacentral:rRNA from 1 species